UAACUUAGUGGCGGACGGGUGAGUAACACGUGAGCAAUCUGCCUUACGUGGGGGAUAGCAGUUGAAACGACUGAUAAGUACCGCAUAACAUAACGGGACCGCAUGAUUCUGUUAUCAAAGAUUCAUUGCCGUAAGAUGAGCUCGCGUCUGAUUAGAUAGUUGGUGAGGUAACGGCCCACCAAGUCGACGAUCAGUAGCCGGACUGAGAGGUUGAACGGCCACAUUGGGACUGAGACACGGCCCAGACUCCUACGGGAGGCAGCAGUGGGGAAUAUUGCACAAUGGGCGCAAGCCUGAAUGCAGCGAUGCCGCGUGAGGGAAGAAGGUUUUCGGAUUGUAAACCUCUGUCUUAUGGGACGAUAAUGACGGUACCAUAGGAGGAAGCUCCGGCUAACUACGUGCCAGCCGCCGC
rnacentral:rRNA from 1 species